ACAAGAGGAGAAAAAACACACAAAGGAGUUAAGAGGUAAUAUUACUACAUACAUAUAAUAUAGCUGUUAUGAUGCGAUGGACGAAGGAAGAAGAUUACCCCCCUCAGAUGGAAGAGGUUUUGGAAGAGCCCCAACUUGUCUCCCUCCCUGGUCUGCUGAUACUUCAGCUGAGGUCUGGCACAGCACCCCAGUUAAAAAGGAAAAUGGAGGCUCUCCGCUGCAUCGGAGUCCAGCUUCUCUCCUAAGCAGCUUUAAGAUGGACAAAGCAGCAAAGCAGUGGUCCAGAAAUACCCCCCCCGCCCCCGCAGACCCUCCC